rnacentral:rRNA from 1 species
AGAGUUUGAUCCUGGCUCAGAUUGAACGCUGGCGGCAUGCUUUACACAUGCAAGUCGAACGGCAGCACGGGGGCAACCCUGGUGGCGAGUGGCGAACGGGUGAGUAAUGCAUCGGAACGUACCGUGUAAUGGGGGAUAACGAGUCGAAAGACUUGCUAAUACCGCAUAUGCCCUGAGGGGGAAAGGGGGGGAUCGCAAGACCUCUCGCUUUCGGAGUGGCCGAUAUCAGAUUAGCUAGUUGGUGAGGUAAAGGCUCACCAAGGCGACGAUCUGUAGCUGGUCUGAGAGGACGACCAGCCACACUGGGACUGAGACACGGCCCAGACUCCUACGGGAGGCAGCAGUGGGGAAUUUUGGACAAUGGGCGAAAGCCUGAUCCAGCCAUUCCGCGUGAGUGAAGAAGGCCUUCGGGUUGUAAAGCUCUUUCGGCAGGAACGAAAUGGUCGCGGUUAAUAACCGUGACUUCUGACGGUACCUGAAGAAGAAGCACCGGCUAACUACGUGCCAGCAGCCGCGGUAAUAC